GGCAGGUGCCAUGCCCACAGUGGACAUGGCACCUGCCCGGUAAGCAGAAGGUUGUGGGUUCGAUUCCCGCUCCUGGACA